rnacentral:rRNA from 1 species
AUGAGCGGUUGGCUGAUGUCGCUAGUCGAGGCGGCUACCGGCGCGCCGGUGGCCGUGGAGGAGUUUGGCCCCGCCCCGGUGUGCUUCGAGGAGGCCGUGGUGUCCAGGAGAAACUUGGCCGGUAUGAGCACGGAGAGGCUCCUAGAGGCGUUCGACUUCAUCCGGUGCAAGGCCAGGGCAAAGUGCGGCGUCGCCGAUGCGCCCGGAGCCGGCAACGAAGCUACAAACCUACGCGUCACCAUUCUCUUCCGCACGGGCGGCCGGUCCUUCAAGGACGAGGCGGGCGUCGAGCGGGUGUUCCGUAAGGAGUGCACGCGCGUGGCCGGGCCAAGCUGCAUGCUGACCGUCGCGCGUUCCGACAACCUGACCUUCUGCGAUCAGGUGAGGUUGCUGAGCAGGACAGACGUGUUCAUCUCGGCGCACGGGGCACAGGUGACGAACCAGCUGUUCAUGGACCGGAACAGCAGCGUCAUGGAGUUCUACCCGAUGGGGUGGAGGCAGCGGGCGGCGGGCGGGCAGUUCGUGUACCGGUGGAUGGCGAGCCGCGCGGGGAUGCGGCACGAGGGCUCGUGGUGGGACCCUGCCGGUGACCCAUGCCCCGAUGGUAACCCGGACAUUUUCAGCUGCUACAAGAACCGGCGGAUCGGGAUGGACGAGGCCGCCUUCACCGAGUUUGCAGCCAAGGUCUUCACCGCUAACAAGGAGCGCAAGUCGGUGAAGGCGCGACGAGGGCAAGAAGCGGGAACUAAUUGCAAAUACAACUAG